UCCGGUUUGUCACCGGCAGUCUCCCUAGAGUGCCCUUGCGUAGCAACUAGGGACAAGGGUUGCGCUCGUUGCGGGACUUAACCCAACAUCUCACGACACGAGCUGACGACAGCCAUGCAGCACCUGUGUACAGACCCGAAGGCUGCCGUGUUUCCACGACAUUCCUGUGCAUGUCAAGCCUAGGUAAGGUUCUUCGCGUUGCGUCGAAUUAAACCACAUGCUCCGCUGCUUGUGCGGGCCCCCGUCAAUUCCUUUGAGUUUCAGCCUUGCGGCCGUACUCCCCAGGCGGGACACUUACUGCGUUAGCGACGGCACCGAGGGGGUCGCUCCCCCCGACGCCUAGUGUCCAUCGUUUACGGCGUGGACUAC
rnacentral:misc_RNA from 1 species